rfam:Gossypium arboreum cultivar AKA8401 contig_54395_1, whole genome shotgun sequence.
UGUUAAAAAUUCCAUGUGUUUUUUCUGUUAAAAACAAGCAUGGUUGACAAAAUAACCAAAUAGUGCCACAUGUAUCUUAUGCUGAUGUAUAGGAAUCAAUUUUUAACAGUAAAAAUAGAUGGAAUAAAAUUUUUAAUA